AUAGUCUACAUAUUGGUGUGAGAGAUGUAAACCCACCGAUACACUUAUCAGCAACUUUUUUUUUUAAAUAAAUAAAUAAAAAAUAGGAUAAAGCCUCUUGUCUUGCUCCCUGUCUCUGUAUUUUUGCACCGACUGUUUCUUUGGUUUUGAUAAAAAUCUAAACUACUACACCAAGUUGACACUUUAUUAGGUAUGCCUGCAGUAAAUGUUCAUUUUAUUACAUUUACUUUUCUAAUUUUGGGUUGCUUUUUACAGGUAUACUAUCUACAGUAUGACAGGAUCAUUAACAUGUACUGACGAUUCUUAUAUCUAAAAUAAGAGACGGCAAGUGACAUGAAACAAUGCAGAAAAUGGACUCUAAAAGAAGGAAAAAAAGAUGAAUCACUUCACAAAGUGGGGAGACCACUUGACUAGGCACCGUGUCUCUGCUGGAAGCUGGCUCUGAGCACUAAUAUUUUCUGUUUCGCAUUAAUCCCUGCUUGGCAGUCACCUUUGUGGGGCAAGCUUGUUUGUUAGCAUCUCCAAAAAAAAAAACCCCAAACACUGGCACUUCUUACAUCAGUACACUCCAAGGUUUGUACUGAGAGACAAGUGUAACAGUGGAGAAAAAAAAAGGAAAAAAGAAAAGAGACAGAGCGAGAGAGAGAGAGAGAGAGAGAGAGAGAGAGAGAGAGAGGCGGUAGGAGAGAGGCAGGGAAAAAUCAGAGCCAAGGAGACAGGAAAAAGACCUACAAUGAAAAAUAACUCCAAAACCAACACAUCGAGAGUCUUGGCAAUCACAACGGGGGUUUUGCAGGCAUCACAGACAACAGAUUCGCAAACAACACUCUGGUCUGGAUGGUGUCACCCCAUGAUUGAUUUCUCCAAGCCAACUGAUAAGUUUUCUGGGGUAGGCAAUCUGUGAAGAAACGAAUCAGUCGAGGUGAAAGAAAAACAAUGUUUGAACCUGAUGCAUGGCAGCCAAUACUCUGACGAGUAACAUUUGCUCAGGGGUCAGUCACCUUGGAAAGGCAAUCUGUGGGGAACAACAGUGCUGACUGUACUGUAAAGUAACUGCUCUUACCUCAGGGCUUUCUUUCUUUCUGUGUUUUUGUUUUGUCUUUUCUCCCAUAACUUGCCAAUGAUGUUGAUUUUCUUUGUUUUACUUGUAUUAUAAUGCUGUUGUUUGGAGUGUGGCCACCAUGGCAUAGAGCCUAAUUUCUACCGGCAAGUUCUUACUUGUUGGUUAAUUUUCUGACCAAGAAAUGUAUUGGCCAUGUAUUCCCUGGUUAGAACGAUCAUGUUUCGCAAACAAAAUGCUUAAUAUAUUCUUGUCUUUUUUUUUUAUCUUCUAAAUUGAAUUCCCAGUGGAUUCUGUGAGUCAGCCUGCUAAGUAUGACUUCACCACCAAAACCAAAUGCUUUGGCCUACUUUAUCUAGCUCUGCAUGUCCCCUGGUUAUUUCGCACACAGCUCUGACCAGUGAGAGUCCAACUGUUUCAGACUAUUUAUGGGGCAGAGUGGGCAGGUUUGUGGUCCAGUAAUCUAUCCCUGGCAAUAUUCAUCAUCACCUUUUAUAAAGCAGCCUAUGUCUGUCUACCAGAUGCCAAAUACAGGCAUUCACACCCCCACGCUCCAAUGGGAAGCAAAUUAGGACCAGACUAAUGGUGCAUGCAGGAACAAGAGGUAGUUUUAUUUCUUUAUUUAUCAUAGUAAAUCCAGUAGCCAUGAUGAGAAGGAAAGAAGCUACAAAUAGCAGAAGAGUACCACUCAGUUUCUUGGUUUUUUUGUUUGUUUGUUUUUUUAAACACAAGAGUCAGUCUGAGCUCCAGGCUGCAACAACAGUGACAGUCACACAUGAAGAGAUUUAAAUAUCACAGUCUUCAAACAUGGGAAAGCCAGACUGUCCCACAAACAAAUACCCACAAUUAGGAGAGAGGAAAUGUUGGCUGGGGAUGUAAGGUGCUCUUGAGUGCUUAAGGCUAGGCGAGUGGAGACAGGCAC
ensembl:lncRNA